CCUACGGGAGGCAGCAGCCGCGGUAAUGCGGGAAACCGUGACGCAGCGACGCCGCGUGAGGGAAGAAGGCCUUCGGGUUGUAAACCUCUUUCAGGAGGGACGAAGCCACUCGGGUUAAUAGCCCAGAGGGUGACGGUACCUCCAGAAGCAGCCACGGCUAACUUCGUGCCAGCAGCCGCGGUA
rnacentral:rRNA from 1 species